rnacentral:rRNA from 1 species
GCGAAGCUCCUGAUCGAAGCCCCAGUAAACGGCGGCCGUAACUAUAACGGUCCUAAGGUAGCGAAAUUCCUUGUCGGGUAAGUUCCGACCUGCACGAAUGGCGUAAUGAUGGCCAGGCUGUCUCCACCCGAGACUCAGUGAAAUUGAACUCGCUGUGAAGAUGCAGUGUACCCGCGGCAAGACGGAAAGACCCCGUGAACCUUUACUAUAGCUUGACACUGAACAUUGAGCCUUGAUGUGUAGGAUAGGUGGGAGGCUUUGAAGUGUGGACGCCAGUCUGCAUGGAGCCAACCUUGAAAUACCACCCUUUAACGUUUGAUGUUCUAACCUAGGCCCAUAAACUGGGUCGGGGACCGUGUCUGGUGGGUAGUUUGACUGGGGCGGUCUCCUCCUAAAGAGUAACGGAGGAGCACGAAGGUUGGCUAAGCAUGGUCGGACAUCAUGCGGUUAGUGCAAAGGCAUAAGCCAGCUUGACUGCGAGAGUGACGGCUCGAGCAGGUACGAAAGUAGGUCUUAGUGAUCCGGUGGUUCUGAAUGGAAGGGCCAUCGCUCAACGGAUAAAAGGUACUCCGGGGAUAACAGGCUGAUACCGCCCAAGAGUUCAUAUCGACGGCGGUGUUUGGCACCUCGAUGUCGGCUCAUCACAUCCUGGGGCUGAAGUAGGUCCCAAGGGUAUGGCUGUUCGCCAUUUAAAGUGGUACGCGAGCUGGGUUUAGAACGUCGUGAGACAGUUCGGUCCCUAUCUGCCGUGGGCGUUGGAAGAUUGAGAGGGGUUGCUCCUAGUACGAGAGGACCGGAGUGAACGCACCACUGGUGUUCGGGUUGUCAUGCCAAUGGCAUUGCCCGGUAGCUAAGUGCGGAAGAGAUAACCGCUGAAAGCAUCUAAGCGGGAAACUUGCCUCGAGAUGAGUCUUCCCUGUCGCUUUAAG